rnacentral:rRNA from 1 species
GACGAACCGUGCAAACGUUAUUCGGAAUCACUGGGCUUAAAGGGCGCGUAGGCGGGCUGGCCAGUCUGUGGUGAAAUCCCCCGGCUUAACCGGGGAACUGCCGUGGAUACUGCCAGUCUCGAGGAGGGUAGGGGCAUCUGGAACAGCCGGUGGAGCGGUGAAAUGCGUUGAUAUCGGAAGGAACGCCGGUGGCGAAAGCGACGUACUGGACCUCUUCUGACGCUGAGGCGCGAAAGCUAGGGGAGCAAACGGG